GACGAACCGUGCGAACGUUAUUCGGAAUCACUGGGCUUAAAGCGCGUGUAGGCGGGAGGGCACGUCCGUCGUUGAAAGCCCCCGGCUCAACCGGGGAACGGGCGCGGAUACGACCUUCCUGGAGGGGCGUAGGGGGACCUGGAACUUCCGGUGGAGCGGUGAAAUGCGUUGAGAUCGGAAGGAACGCCCGUGGCGAAAGCGAGGUCCUGGACGCCUACUGACGCUGAGACGCGAAAGCCAGGGGAGCGAA
rnacentral:rRNA from 1 species